AUAAGUCAGUCGAAAAUUAUAAAUUCUCAGUUCACCAUAAGGUCUAUGAAAGACUUACACAAGAAAAAUAAAUUUAGUACGCUACCGCACUGCCGAACGAACAGUUACUAAAAUAUACAUUCAGAAUGUCGACCAUUUUCCGCUUAGGGCUUUGUUUGAUACUACUUACCACCAUCAUGGCACAAUCAAAAAUCGAUUCCGCUCUCUUGGCUGUCCUUAAUGGUGGACAACGAGCCAGAUUACAGAUUUCAAUGAUCGAAGGAACAGAGGACAUUCUAAAAAGCAUCGGCGAUAGGACUUUUGCCACUCGAGAAGAACAAUUGACUACACAACACAAUCAAUUGACUGCGUAUGCUGCACAAAGUCAGGCUCAGGUUGUUGGACUUUUAGAGACCGAGAAAAAUCGAAUUCCUAUCACGUGGGAGUCGUUGCCGAUUGGAAACCAAAUUAUUGUUAAUGGAGCUGAUUUACAGUUGGCGAACGCGAUUGCUAACAUUCAAAAUGUGGCGAAAGUUGAAGGCGAAAAGUUUGUAGAUUUGCUUUGAAGAAAUACUGUUUCUAUAAUGUGACUUCAUCAUAAUCAACAUUAACAUAAUCUACCUCUCUGUUCGCUAAUUUACGAUAAUCUCAAAAAUAUACUUGCUUACGUAAAUCACGAAA